GAGCUGUGGAGAGCAGGAGCAGUCACUGAAAAAACCCCAAAACAAUUCAAAAGUCGAGACGCAUGGGGAAAAGGACUAAAAACCAAAAGGACUACCGAAGAAGAAGAAGAAGAGGUUUGGAGAAGCAGAGACUAAGAGGAGAGGCCGUCUAAAAUAAACCCCCUGCUGAGCCGACGUGAAGCUAACGGCAGCGAUGGAGCCGAGCCGGGGCCCGGGCGGUUCAGCAGGGCAGAAGUAAAGACCCGUCACAACAAACAAGCUCCUCACCGCACAGUUUCUCCUGCCAGCAGACGUCUCAUCCGCUUCAGCCAUGUGGAGGAAAA